GGGGUUGUGGCGGGCUGUAAGAGUGUAUAGGAUGAUAGGGGGCCAGGGGGGGUCUGUAGAGAGGGAUGUUAUGCUGGAGAAGGUAUGGGGGGCUAAAAUGGGCGUUUGGGGGUUACAGAGGGGCUGUGGUGGGCUAUUUGGGGAUAUAGGGAGAUAUAAGGCUAUAGUUUGGAGGAUGUGGUCCUCUAAGGGGCUGUGUGGGUCCAUAGGAUGAUCUGGAGCUAUAGGGUGAUCUCUAAAGGGAUGUGGGGCUAGAAGGCUCUCCCUUCCUUCUUUCCCCCCUUUCCACAGCAGGGAGGGUGAAAUGCUAGUCAUGAAAUUGAAACUGGAACUGGAGUUGUAUUGGAAUAGAAUAUGAUGCUUUUGUGGUCUUCCAUCUGAAACGUGUUUUCUCCUUGGGUUUAAGUAAUCUGUUUAUGUUUAAUGAUUAUGCUUAAUAAUCUAAUCAUGUUUCAUAAUGUCUCUGGAGAAGGUUUCAGUCUGCAGUCUGCUGAUCUGAAAGAAAGAAGGCGGCUUUUGGAGGACUUAAUCAUGGCGAGUCGAGCUGCUGCUGAACCUCCCCUUCCAACAUCCAGCAGGUGAGGAUGUUGUGCAUCUCAGCCCUCCCUCCCUGCACGGUAGCAGCGACUCAGUCUGCGCUCUGCGGUGAUUUUCCAUCAGCACUUCUGCUGGGAUGUGAGCAGCAGGCAUCCG
ensembl:lncRNA